rnacentral:rRNA from 1 species
GACGAACGCUGGCGGCGUGCCUAAUACAUGCAAGUUGAGCGCUGAAGGUUGGUACUUGUACCAACUGGAUGAGCAGCGAACGGGUGAGUAACGCGUGGGGAAUCUGCCUUUGAGCGGGGGACAACAUUUGGAAACGAAUGCUAAUACCGCAUAAAAACUUUAAACACAAGUUUUAAGUUUGAAAGAUGCAAUUGCAUCACCCAAAGAUGAUCCCGCGUUGUAUUAGCUAGUUGGUGAGGUAAAGGCUCACCAAGGCGAUGAUACAUAGCCGACCUGAGAGGGUGAGCGGCCACAUUGGGACGGAGACACGGCCCAAACUCCUACGGGAGGCAGCAGUAGGGAAUCUUCGGCAAUGGACGAAAGUCUGACCGAGCAACGCCGCGUGAGUGAAGAAGGAUUUCGGAUCGUAAAACUCUGUUGGUAGAGAAGAACGUUGGUGAGAGUGGAAAGCUCAUCAAGUGACGGUAACUACCCAGAAAGGAACGGCUAACUACGUG